AAACGAAGGAAGCAUGGUAAUAUGCACAAAAAUUGAAUUGAGUCUCUAAGCCUGCCCUCUCGGAUGCCAUUUGGCUUUGAGGGCAUGGUUCAGUAGCAAAACA